AACAAAUUGUUAUGAAACUUCUGUUAUCAAAAGUUGCAGCUUAAAAUAUAUCUGAACGGUGCUUAUUAUGAUAUUGAUUACAAAUUGACUAAAAUAUUAUCCACAAACAGCGAUACUUAUCAAAAUUAUUGUAUAUUCAAAUUUUUUGCCAAUGUUUCAGCACUUAGCGUACCAACUAAAUUGGUUUUGUCCGCGGGCAUAAAACAUGAUAUAUAUGCGAAUAUAACUUUCUCUCUCCAUCAUACCGACGAAAAAAACUUAUUACUGAAGUUUUAUUUAUCUUCAUUUUAAGAUACAAUAUGUCAGAGAUUAUAAGAUGUAACUUGUGAUAUUGAUGCAACAUAUGCUGGCCAUAUUCAGAGUGAGGUGACAGAAAAAGUAAUAGCCACAUCAAGUAUUAAUUAUAAUUAACAUUCCGUGCAGCAGAAUGUAUGAACAGAAUUAACGAUAAUAUAAAAUCGAUCAUAUUAUACAUGUAUGAAAAGACGAGUUGAUAUCUAUUUAGAAAAUGUGAAUAUAAUUAUAGACAAUAGGAAUACAUGAAAA